GAAAAAUAAGUGGCAGAGCCUGGUGUGGGGAGGUGAGAGGUUGGUAAGUCGUUCUACUUCUGCAGCACAGCUGAUGGGAGGGGAAAGUGGGGACCAGAGUUGGAGGAUGACAUAAUCCUCACGUGACCAGGAGCUGCCACAAAGUCCUUAUAUUCCCCGGCUUCUUUCUCCUCUGGGUACCAGCUCCUUACUGUCCUGUAGCCGUUUGUGUUGUGACCAAGAGAAGGAGGACUUAAAUUCCUUAAAUCUCAGAAGGUCCAAGGGUCUGUGUUCACAGACACCUCGAGGCAAGAAAAAGAGGAAACUCUCCCGAAUCAUCACAGGAGCCCUUAAUUAGAAAUCAUAAACCAUUAUAAGGAGACUCCUGUACAACUCAACUGAAACAGAAUGUAUGGUAAGUGUGCAUUUUAAUGUAGCUUUAUAAUUAUUGUUAUAUGCAUUUGUCUUUUAAGACGUAUAGGGAAAAAAAGGAAUUGUAAACCAAAUAUGAAAAACUACUUGCUUUUUUAAAAA
rnacentral:lncRNA from 12 species